rfam:Actinobacillus minor NM305 Contig_92, whole genome shotgun sequence.
GUCGAGAGGGCGGAGAAUACAAUACCCGAAAGGGAAAUAAUCCCAGCCUACUUUGGAAGGCUUUCGAACCUCUCGGCUACCCUAA